rnacentral:rRNA from 1 species
CCUACGGUAGGCAGCAGUGAGGAAUAUUGGUCAAUGGGCGGAAGCCUGAACCAGCCAAGUAGCGUGCAGGAUGACGGCCCUACGGGUUGUAAACUGCUUUUAUACGGGAAUAACGCGCCUUACUUGUAGGGCUUUUCAUGUACCGUAUGAAUAAGGACCGGCUAUUUCCGUGCCAGCCGCCGCGGUAAUACGGAAGGUCCGGGCGUUAUCCGAAUUUAUUGGGGUUAACGGGAGCGUAGGCGGCAUGUCAAGCGUGCUGUGAAAUGUCCGGGCUCAACCCGGGCCUUGCAGCGCGAACUGGCGUGCUUGAGUCCGCGGAAAGCAGGCGGAAUUCGUCGUGUAGCGGUGAAAUGCUUAGAUAUGACGAAGAACCCCGAUUGCGAAGGCAGCUUGCUGCAGCGGAACUGACGCUGAUGCUCGAAAGCGCGGGUAUCGAACAGGAUUAGAUACCCCAGUAGUC